GGGUUGUAAACUUCUUUUAUAAAGGAAUAAAGUCGGGUAUGCAUACCCGUUUGCAUGUACUUUAUGAAUAAGGAUCGGCUAACUCCGUGCCAGCAGCCGCGGUAAUACGGAGGAUCCGAGCGUUAUCCGGAUUUAUUGGGUUUAAAGGGAGCGUAGAUGGAUGUUUAAAUCAGUUGUGAAAGUUUGCGGCUCAACCGUAAAAUUGCAGUUGAUACUGGAUGUCUUGAGUGCAGUUGAGGCAGGCGGAAUUCGUGGUGUAGCGGUGAAAUGCUUAGAUAUCACGAAGAACUCCGAUUGCGAAGGCAGCCUGCUAAGCUGCAACUGACAUUGAGGCUCGAAAGUGUGGGUAUCAAACAGGAUUAGAUACCCUGGUAGUCCACACGGUAAA
rnacentral:rRNA from 1 species